CGGGGGAAGAGCCCUUCGUUCAUCUUCGAGAGAUCUUUGCAAACCCAUAGGACAAAAAAGAAAGCAAAAGUCCAGUUUACUUACAACAAAAUAUUCCAGAAAAGACAAAGGCAAGGGGUCCGAAGGAAAGGAGAGAAAUCGAUUUGAUUCACUGGGUGAUGGUACGGUGCGCAGCCCACUCGGCUGGAAAGAGCUUGGUCACUUUUUUCCAAGG
rnacentral:lncRNA from 1 species